rnacentral:rRNA from 1 species
AUUGAACGCUGGCGGCAGGCCUAACACAUGCAAGUCGAGCGGAUGAGUGGAGCUUGCUCCAUGAUUCAGCGGCGGACGGGUGAGUAAUGCCUAGGAAUCUGCCUGGUAGUGGGGGACAACGUUCCGAAAGGGGCGCUAAUACCGCAUACGUCCUACGGGAGAAAGUGGGGGCUCUUCGGACCUCACGCUAUCAGCAGACCCGAGGUCGGAUUAGCUAGUUGGUGAGGUAAAGGCUCACCAAGGCGACGAUCCGUAACUGGUCUGAGAGGAUGAUCAGUCACACUGGAACUGAGACACGGUCCAGACUCCUACGGGAGGCAGCAGUGGGGAAUAUUGGACAAUGGGCGAAAGCCUGAUCCAGCCAUGCCGCGUGUGUGAAGAAGGUCUUCGGAUUGUAAAGCACUUUAAGUUGGGAGGAAGGGCAGUAAGUUAAUACCUUGCUGUUUUGACGUUACCGACAGAAUAAGCACCGGCUAACUCUGUGCCAGCAGCCGCCGUAAGAC